AUUGAACGCUGGCGGCAUGCCUUACACAUGCAAGUCGAACGGCAGCGCGGACUUCGGUUUGGCUGCGAGUGGCGAACGGGUGAGUAAUACAUCGGAACGUACCCUGUUGUGGGUGAUAAUUAGUUGAAAGAUUAGCUAAUACUGCAUACGACCAGAGGGUGAAAGUGGGGGACCGGUAACGCCUUCCUGCAGCAGGAGCUGCAGAUGUCUGAUUAGCUAGUUGGGGGGGUAAAGGCCCACCAAGGCGACGAUCAGUAGCUGGUCUGAGAGGACGAUCAGCCACACUGGGACUGAGACACGGCCCAGACUCCUACGGGAGGCAGCAGUGGGGAAUUUUGGACAAUGGGGGCAAACCUGAUCCAGCAAUGCCGCGUGUGUGAAGAAGGCCUUCGGGUUGUAAAGCACUUUUGUCCGGAAAGAAAUCGCGCUGGUUAAUACCUGGCGUGGAUGACGGUACCGGAAGAAUAAGCACCGGCUAACUACGUG
rnacentral:rRNA from 1 species